CCAUCUCGAAGGGUUUGAUCCUGGCUCAGAAUGAACGUUGGCGGCGUGGAUUAGGCAUGCAAGUCGAACGGGCCGCAAGGCCAGUGGCGAAAGGGUGAGUAAGGCGACGGCAACCUACCCCGAGGUUGGGCAUAGCCGGGGGAAACUCCGGGUAAUUCCCAGCGAUGUGCGUCUCAGGCAUCUGAGACGCACCAAAGGUGCAAUUCCGCCUCGGGACGGGCCGUCGUGGUAUUAGGUAGUUGGUGGGGUCACGGCCCACCAAGCCGACGAUGCCUACCGGGCGUGCGAGCGUGGCCCGGCACACUGGGACUGAGACACUGCCCAGACUCCUACGGGAGGCUGCAGUCGAGAAUCUUCGGCAAUGGGCGCAAGCCUGACCGAGCGACGCCGCGUGGAGGAAGACGGCCCUUGGGUUGUAAACUCCUGUCGAGGGGAAGGAAGGGUCGGCGAAGAGCCGAUCUUGACCGCUCCCUGGAGGAAGCACGGGCUAAGUUCGUGCCAGCAGCCGCGGUAAGACGAACCGUGCAAACGUUAUUCGGAAUCACUGGGCUUAAAGGGCGCGUAGGCGGAAGGGCGCGUCGGCGUUGAAAUCCCCCGGCUCAACCGGGGAAGCGGCGUCGAAACGGCCGUUCUGGAGGGGCGUAGAGGGACUCGGAACUUCCGGUGGAGCGGUGAUAUGCGUUGAGAUCGGAAGGAACGCCCGUGGCGAAAGCGGAGUCCUGGACGCUUACUGACGCUGAGGCGCGAAAGCCAGGGGAGCAAACGGGAUUAGAUACCCCGGUAGUCCUGGCUGUAAACGAUGGGCACUUGGCAGUGGGUUCGUCGAUGGGUCCACUGCCGGAGGGAAACCGUGAAGUGCCCCGCCUGGGGAGUAUGGUCGCAAGGCUGAAACUCAAAGGAAUUGACGGGGGCUCACACAAGCGGUGGAGCAUGUGGCUUAAUUCGAGGCUACGCGAAAAACCUUAUCCUGGGCUUGACAUGCAGGGAUUAGCCGGCGGAAACGUCGGUGACGCCGCAAGGUGGAACCUGCACAGGUGCUGCAUGGCUGUCGUCAGCUCGUGCCGUGAGGUGUCGGGUUAAGUCCCUUAACGAGCGAAACCCCUGCGGCCAGUUGCCAACACAUCCUGGUGGGGACUCUGGCCGGACCGCCGGCGUGAAGCCGGAGGAAGGCGGGGAUGACGUCAAGUCCUCAUGGCCCUUAUGCCCAGGGCUGCACACGUGCUACAAUGGCGGGGACAAAGCGUCGCCACGCCGUAAGGCCGAGCCAACCGCGUAAACCCCGCCCCAGUUCGGAUCGAGGGCUGCAACCCGCCCUCGUGAAGCCGGAAUCGCUAGUAAUCGCGGAUCAGCAUUGCCGCGGUGAAUGUGUUCCUGAGCCUUGUACACACCGCCCGUCAAGCCACCAAAGGGGGGGGCACCCGAAGUCGCCGACGUCUCACGACGGGCGCCGAAGGUGAAACUCCUGAUGGGGACUAAGUCGUAACAAGGUAACCGUAGGGGAACCUGCGGUUGGAUCACCUCCUUUCU
rnacentral:rRNA from 1 species